GAGCAAGCUUUCCGAACACAAGAGGGGCAAGCUUGCUCCUGCCGGGGUGACCCCAGACCCCAGAGCUACAGCACCCCUGACCCUUGCACACGUGAUCCAGACCCAUCCCGUGGUGGAGGCCAAGACAGCAAGUCGGUACUGGGUGAACUAUGUGGAUGAUGAAUAAGAAUUUUUUUAUAGUCAUUAGGCAAAAUCCAAACAGGAAAUGACAGUUUUCUUUUUCUUUGGUUCUGCAUUAUGAUAAGCAGUGACGUUGGUCUCUGGUUAAGAAGCUUGUACCUGACAGGAGAUGCCUGGCACUUUGUCCUUUCAUUGUAAAGGUGGCAACGGCACUGUCGUGCAGAGCCCGAACCGUGAACUCAGAUGAUGGGGACGGUCAGACAGACAGCACAGUGGGCAGGAGCAGGAGGCUGAGCAGAAUCAAAAAUGAGGCUUCAGCCCAUGGUUAUUCAUUCUGACUCGUGGUCCUUCUGCCUGGGUCUUAAAUAAAAACGUGUUUUCUAUUU
rnacentral:lncRNA from 1 species